rnacentral:rRNA from 1 species
AGCGGCAGCGCGGGGCAACCUGGCGGCGAGCGGCGAACGGGUGAGUAACAUAUCGGAACGUAUCCUUGAGUGGGGGACAACUAGUCGAAAGACUAGCUAAUACCGCAUACGCUCGAGAGAGGAAAGUGGGGGACCGCAAGGCCUCACGCUGAAGGAGCGGCCGAUAUCAGAUUAGCUAGAUGGUGAGGUAAAGGCUUACCAUGGCGACGAUCUGUAGCUGGUCUGAGAGGAUGAUCAGCCACACUGGAACUGAGA